AAAAUCGGUUAAAACACCAUGAGCGUGCGUGUGAUCGUGUGACCUCUCCUCUACGUUCCUUUCUUGUAACAUACAUUUAACGAAUGCGGGCUUUCCAGUUAUAAUCCCAACCAAGCAACCUACAACCGUUUUUGAAACACAACAGCCGCCACUACAGAAUGUUGCAGCCGCCCUUUUUGAUAUUGUGUUCCUCAAAGACGAACGUAUUGAUGAGCUCCUGCAUGUUUGCAAUGACGGUUAAAGGUCUGUAGCGGUCUCGUGUUGAGGGGGACACACGUUGAGACCGACCGCUCGUUGAUGCGCUUUGUCGUUCAGACGUUUAUAACCGGCACUGCCUUCUGCAGCUUUGCAAGGAGGAACAGGGAAGUCCUGGCUUGUUCUUUCACGCGCGUCGUGCGUAAUUGCGCACCGGCUCGCUCAUCCACUGCAGUUGAACGCUGUGAAUUUUAGGAAUAUCUGCUGUUGGAGCCUGAUAACGAGCUUUCAUUUGAAUCAGGUGUGCUGGAGCAGGGACACAUCUAGAACGUGCAGGACAGUGGACCCUGAUGACCAGGAUUGAACACCCUUGACCUACAGCUUUCUAACCAAUUUGAGAAGAUUGAGAAGGCUGUGUCGUCAGGGCAUUUUUUGUUGAGUCAUAAGGGGAUGGAUGUACUUAAAGACACAAAGGAGAACAUUUUUCAUGAAGCAUAAUUCAGACUGAGAAGGUAUGCCGGAUACAGUAGGCCUAUUGCACAAUAUCACAAACAAUCCAUAGUCCAUUGAGUUCACAAGUCAGAUUCCUCCUUAGUCUGUGAAAUCACAUGCUACCUCUUCUGAAAAUCUAUUCACAUCACCCAUUUAUCAACGUAUUCAGUUCAACCCUGUUUCUAGAGAGCUACCUUCAUGUAGGUCAUCAGUCCAACCCCAGUUGUAACUAACCAGAUUCAUCAAGCAUCAACCAGCUAAUCAUUACAAUCAGGUGUGCUAGAUUAGAGUUAGAGCAUUAACCUACAGGAAGGUAGCUCUGCAGGAGCAGGGACCCACUUUUCCAGAGAGUAUUCAUAGGUGAUAAUUACUGUUCAUACAAUCAUAAUAAAUCAUUGUCAUUGGUCAUUUGAUUGCUUCGGUCUGAACCUCUGCGAGGAAAAAAGGCCUAGCCAGAGCCCAGGGGAUCAUGGGGGAAGUGUUUGAGCCGCCAUCCAGCCAGACAGCCAGACUGGGAGCAGGUUCGUCUGGUCUGUGACACUCUCCACACGCACUGCCCAGCUGUGUGCUGCUGCCCUGGUAACGCUCGCCAACCGUAUCCGUGUCAACCGAGGACUGGACCACUUGAAGAUAAUCUUGGGGGUGAAUGGAGCAGUUUAUAAACUGAAGCAUAUCCCACGCAAGGGUGGAGUUAUGAGGACUGUUUUGUCUUUGAUGUCCAUCGGAGAGGGGUUUCUUCAAUAAGAAACGCAAGGACACCGUUUGCAUCAUGGCUCCCCAGUGUGACGUCACCUUCCUGGUCUCCAAGGACAGCAGCGGGAAGGGCGCCGCCAUGGUAACGGCCGUGGCCCGAAGCCUGCCCCUCCAGUCCCACCUGCUGGAAGAGAGCAGUGAAGAGGAGGAGGAGGAGGGUGAGGAGGAGGGUAAGGAGGAAGAGGAGAAUGAAGAAAGCUGUCUUAGUGAUAGGAGAGGAGCAAACGUAUAAAGAUUCUAGACUGUACUUGAAAUGAUAUAUGUUGUGUUAAAGAGAGCCCAUGGUUGACACACCAUAACAACACCACAUAAGCAACUAAACAGUCACACCCACUUGGGUUUACAAAAGGAUAUGAAAGAUAUUAUGCUGUUUUGUUAUAUAAAUAUUUUUUCCCCCCCUGGACUCACUUCUUGCAAUGGUGUUUUGUCAUGAUCUGCUUUGUUAAAUGUAAUUUCAUUGUUUUGUCAGUUGAAAAAUGCAAACGUGGCUGAAACAUUGGCUCACAUAUCGCGGCAUUUCACAGGUAGACACAUGCUCCUUGUCUGAAAAUUAUAUUUCAUCUGGGUAAUAAUGUAUCUAGCGUCAUACCCUAUUAAUAUGCAUUAGACCAGCCAAGCAAAAAAAAAGUGUUACGCAGUCAACCAAAACACGUGGUAACUCCCCUAGUGGGCAACAAGCGUAUACAUAAAAUGUCGGGGUUUAAAUCAAAAUCGUAAAAGACAUAAAUACAUGUCGAAUGGUCACGAGGCUAUAUGCCUUCCCAUGUAACUGAGAAAAAGUGUUGCCAGUGACUACAGGGGUGCUGAAAUGUUACAAUGAAACGUUUUAUUUUUGCGUUGAAAUAUCUGAUAUAUUUUUAACAGUCAGUUACAACUUCAGCUACAUAAGUGUACAAAUGUAAGUCUGCGUGCUGUGUUUAUUUUUUCUUCCUGUAAGUUCCUUUCUCGUUUCUACAUUGCUCAAUAAAGAAUAUGC